UUGAACGCUGGCGGCAGGCUUAACACAUGCAAGUCGAACGAUGAAACUCUAGCUUGCUAGAGAUGAUUAGUGGCGGACGGGUGAGUAACAUUUAGGAAUCUGCCUAGUAGUGGGGGAUAGCUCGGGGAAACUCGAAUUAAUACCGCAUACGACCUACGGGUGAAAGGGGGCGCAAGCUCUUGCUAUUAGAUGAGCCUAAAUCAGAUUAGCUAGUUGGUGGGGUAAAGGCCCACCAAGGCGACGAUCUGUAACUGGUCUGAGAGGAUGAUCAGUCACACCGGAACUGAGACACGGUCCGGACUCCUACGGGAGGCAGCAGUGGGGAAUAUUGGACAAUGGGGGCAACCCUGAUCCAGCCAUGCCGCGUGUGUGAAGAAGGCCUUUUGGUUGUAAAGCACUUUAAGCAGGGAGGAGAGGCUAAUGGUUAAUACCCAUUAGAUUAGACGUUACCUGCAGAAUAAGCACCGGCUAACUCUGU
rnacentral:rRNA from 1 species